AGUGAACGCUGGCGGUAGGCCUAACACAUGCAAGUCGAACGGCAGCACAGUAAGAGCUUGCUCUUACGGGUGGCGAGUGGCGGACGGGUGAGGAAUACAUCGGAAUCUACUUUUUCGUGGGGGAUAACGUAGGGAAACUUACGCUAAUACCGCAUACGACCUACGGGUGAAAGCAGGGGAUCUUCGGACCUUGCGCGAUUGAAUGAGCCGAUGUCGGAUUAGCUAGUUGGCGGGGUAAAGGCCCACCAAGGCGACGAUCCGUAGCUGGUCUGAGAGGAUGAUCAGCCACACUGGAACUGAGACACGGGCCAGACGACUAAGGGAGGCAGCAGUGGGGAAUAGUGGACAAUGGGAGGAAGCCUGAUCCAGCCAUACCGCGUGGGUGAAAAAGGCCUUCGGGUUGUAAAGACCUUUUGUUGGGAAAGAAAAGCAGCAGGUUAAUAACCCGCUGUUCUGACGGUACCCAAAGAAUAAGCACCGGCUAACUUCGUG
rnacentral:rRNA from 1 species